UAAAAUUCAAGUUGAACAGGACGUUGGUUCCACGCACAGCAAAACUGGUCCGGACAUUGACAUUUAAAUUCAAGCCUGUAGUGACUGGUGUCGAGAACGUGGGACUCGAACUUUAGCCAACAGUGAUAAUGCUCUAGAACAUAUUAAAAUAUGACGGGACAUGGACUUGAAGACUCGGAAAUAAUGUGGAAAUUCUGCAACAGGAAGUGAAGUGGACUCGAACUCUAGUCCCAUUCGUCCCAUCUGUGAGUAUUGACUUAGAACCUAAUGGACAAAAAUGUGACGUCAUUAGCUCGUUGUAGAUACCAAAUAUUGGCCUAUGAAUACAUGAUAUGAGGUGCGCCUCCGCUAGAGGGCACUAGAGCAGAUUAGGAAAGACGAAAUUGAAAAACAAAAACAACAUGUAAAUUGUUAAUUAAUUUUGUAAUCGAGUAUUUAUUUAUUUAUUAUUUUUUUAAAUAAAUACAAAUAAUAGAAGUUUGCACCACGGAGAGAGCCACAAUGUUGACUGCUGUAUGAGUCACAUGACCAGUUUUGCUAUGUGGGAAGAUGAGACAUGAACAUGAGAAGUCAGUAUGGCCUGUGGAGGUUAGUAACCAUGAAGUACAUUGUUUAAAAAAAUACACAGUACAGUUUUAUUUAUAAAAAGGCAGGACAAUAUUGUAAAAUAUUUUUUUUGGCUUUUUUAGAAGCCAAACGCACAAGAGGUGACGUAACACUGGCUGUGUGAGUGUGGUGUAAACAUGUAAAAGUUACAACAAAAAAA